GCCGUCCCCCCGGUCCUCCCUCGAGUCUGAGUUUUUGGCCGCCAGGCCUUUGCAGACGCCGUCUCGGGAUUCGCGGCGCCAGGCUUUGGCUCGCGAAGCCAGAACCGUGGAGAGCGUAGGGACCCGGGUCCGCGGCCGCCGCACUCCCCGCUCGUCCCCGCUCGUCCCGGCCUCGGGGUCCGGAGAAACUGGGGCAACGGGGGGAGCCUGGGGAGCCCCGGGAGCCCGGGACGAGGAAGCUGAGACACACAGAGGCUGGGGGCAAGAGGGGCCAAGACCGAGGGGACAGGAGGGGAAGAGAUACGGAGGAAUACCGGAGGACACAGGGACCGGACAAGGCGCUGGAAGGGAGGGGGGAGGCUCACGGAGUUUGGCCGGAGGCCUUGCUACCCUCCCUUCCUCCCGCGCGCCGGGUGUCCCUUCUCGUCCCUUCCGAAGCUGCGUAGUUCCUAGACCCAGGUUUCCAGGGGCUGAGGGAGCCCGGCUCCAGAGAGUUAGGGCCGUGUAGACCUCGCGGACCUUGUCUGUGGUUCUCCCGGGCAGGGAAAGGGGAUGGAGAGCCGCGCUCCCCGGGGAGCUCUAACAUUCCAGGGCACAGAGCAGAUAGCCAAGAGGGGGACCCAGCCCGCCCAAGCCCUCCAGUUCCAGGUGGGAUCCUGGGAUCACUGCCACCUGAGAGCAAGUCCGGCCGCCUUGGGGGUGGGGGGAGCAUUUCACUCUCAGAACACCUGAAUAAAUGCCCCCCGCCAGCCUCCUCCACCCCCGUGUCUGUGGCCACCACCGGCCUUGUGGCCUUGGCCUCGUCGUUUCCUCCACCCCUUCCGUCCUCCAUAAAAGAAGCGUCCUUCCAGUGCGAAGGUGACCAGAGCCGGGAGGGAACCAGACCGACCCGGAUUUGGUGGCUCAAUCUCACCCCAAAACGUUCUGGACUCGGGUACGACUUAGAUGCACACCGCAGAGAGCUCCCGGACCAGCGGCGCCGCACCUGACGCUGCGCGGUCCCCCAGGCGCCCCGCCCAGGGCCUCCAGACCGAGGGGCUCCUGCUCCUGGAGGCGCCGGGGCUCUGGGGGACGGAGGUGAGUGAAGAGGGCGGACGGCUGGGCGGAGUGGUUCAUUAGCACCUCAUCCUCCCUUCCACAUUCCUUCCCCGCCCCCGUCCCUCCUGGGGGAGGGGGGAGGGUCUGCCCCUCCCCCUCUCCCUGGCCCAGCCUCUGCCCCGCUUCCCCCGGCGUGGCGUGGAGGGGGUCCUCUGGGCUAUUCCCGUCCGGUCGGGAGCGGGGUGGGGGGGGGGGACAGACUGGGAUGUACAGUUCGAGGGAUACAAAUUGGAGUCUAAGAAGAAUGUUCUGCCCCUCCAAGGCGGGAGACCCAAUAUCAUUCUCUCCACAAAGAAGAGUCCCCGGACACCCUGGGAAGGGAAAGGGCUGGGGGCAGGCGCGGUAGUGCGGACACCUCAACACUCUCAAAAGAGGGGGGAGGGCGACGGGGAAGGAGGAGGCUCGGAGAGCCCUGGGAGGAGAGGGGCCGGGGUGGCGCGCAGCUAACGAGCCCCUUCCCAAAUUCUCUGGGCGGGACUGGGCUGCUCCCAGAGGGGGGUCUUUUCUAACAAGGUGCCCCUGGGCCCUGCCCCUCCCUCCCCAGGAGCCCAAGCCGCCAAAGGUUCGUGGAAUAUAAUGGAUCAUUUUCCAAUUUACCAGGGUCUUAGAGAUUACGCCGCUAAUCCCAUCAAAGACCAUCUGCUUACAUUGUCCCUCCUGAGCCAAAAUAAAUAGAUCCUUUACUCCCUCCA